rnacentral:rRNA from 1 species
AUGAAACAAGGAAUGGAGUGGGUUGGGAGAGAUUGGAAAGGAUGGAGGCCUCCGGGGGCAGGAUUUAUAGGACAACAAAGGAGCAGAGCAGAGGAGAGGAGGAAGAAAGAGCGGCGGGCGGGCGGAGGAGGAAGAAGAAAGGGACAAAAGAAAGAAAGAAAGAAAGAAAAACAAAGCGUCCAUAACAUCACAUCACACCGCCAACACGGUGCUGCUGGGCUGGCCUCAAGACUCAAGAGAAGAAGAGCCUCACCGGUUGCUCGAAUGCUCUUGCUCUUGGUUGCUGCCUGCUGGUGCCGGUAA